rnacentral:rRNA from 1 species
AGUUUGAUCCUGGCUCAGGAUGAACGCUAGCUACAGGCUUAACACAUGCAAGUCGAGGGGCAGCGGGAUUGAAGCUUGCUUCAAUUGCCGGCGACCGGCGCACGGGUGAGUAACGCGUAUCCAACCUUCCGUACACUCAGGGAUAGCCUUUCGAAAGAAAGAUUAAUACCUGAUGGUAUGAUGAGAUUGCAUGAUAGCAUCAUUAAAGAUUUAUCGGUGUACGAUGGGGAUGCGUUCCAUUAGGUAGUAGGCGGGGUAACGGCCCACCUAGCCAACGAUGGAUAGGGGUUCUGAGAGGAAGGUCCCCCACAUUGGAACUGAGACACGGUCCAAACUCCUACGGGAGGCAGCAGUGAGGAAUAUUGGUCAAUGGACGAGAGUCUGAACCAGCCAAGUAGCGUGAAGGAUGAAGGUCCUACGGAUUGUAAACUUCUUUUAUAAGGGAAUAAACCCUCCCACGUGUGGGAGCUUGUAUGUACCUUAUGAAUAAGCAUCGGCUAACUCCGUGCCAGCAGCCGCGGUAAUACGGAGGAUGCGAGCGUUAUCCGGAUUUAUUGGGUUUAAAGGGAGCGCAGACGGGUCGUUAAGUCAGCUGUGAAAGUUUGGGGCUCAACCUUAAAAUUGCAGUUGAUACUGGCGUCCUUGAGUGCGGUUGAGGUGUGCGGAAUUCGUGGUGUAGCGGUGAAAUGCUUAGAUAUCACGAAGAACUCCGAUUGCGAAGGCAGCACACUAAUCCGUAACUGACGUUCAUGCUCGAAAGUGUGGGUAUCAAACAGGAUUAGAUACCCUGGUAGUCCACACGGUAAACGAUGGAUACUCGCUGUUGGCGAUAUACUGUCAGCGGCUUAGCGAAAGCGUUAAGUAUCCCACCUGGGGAGUACGCCGGCAACGGUGAAACUCAAAUGAAUUGAC